UCUCCGUAGGUGAACCUGCGGAGGGAUCAUUACAGAGUUCUCGCCCUCGCGGGUAGAUCUCCCACCCACUGUUAUCGUUACUGUGUUGCUUUGGCGGGCCGCCGGGCCCCGCUCGGCCGCCGGCUCCGGCUGGCGCGCGCCCGCCAGAGGCCCAGCAAACUCUGAAUGUUAGUGUCGUCCGAGUACUAUAUAAUAGUUAAAACUUUCAACAACGGAUCUCUUGGUUCUGACAUCGAUGAAGAACGCAGC
rnacentral:misc_RNA from 1 species